AUAAUUGCUCACUAUGAGAAUCCUAUAAAUUAUAAAGCAUAAGAAUAAUUUCUUAAACGUUUAAUUAUAUAAGAUAUCUCAUUUUUAAUGUAUAUUGUUUGCAGGAAAACAUGCCAAGAUUAGCAACCUGUACACAAACAUUCUUUGAGCCUCUAGAUACAGAGUCUCUGAGAGCAGUUUCCAGUUCCAACACAACAGCACCUCAUCUUCUGCCUGCACUCCUGAACACACGACCAGGCUCACACCACUCGAGACCUCCGUAUACACAAAAUAGGACCCAUAAGUCCUUCUGAAGGUGUGUGGGUGCAUGAUAAAUGCUCCAUAAAUAGCUACUGAUAGAAAACCUACAUCACAGGUACCCUCAACUCAAUCUCGUUCUUGCCUGGAGAAGCAAUGUGAUGAAGGAUCUAGGUUUGAACCCUGGCAUUUAGCUUUCUGAAUAGUUGUCAGAUGAGUUUUUUUUUUAACAAGAAGCUAAAGAAGAUUGAAAUGCAAUGAUGAAAAAUUGACUCAGAGGUGGAAGAUGUAAUUGUUUUCAGUGGAAUGCCUUCUGUCCACUGUAUAGGAUCUACUGAAUGUUCACAUGGCUGGCUCUAAGUGCCAUUCUAGACUACAUACUAUGUGAAAAAAAUCUUUCUUCUGUUCAUUUUAUAUUUUCUCAGGUCCCUUCCAAGGAUGGAUGACCUAGAGGCUGGGAUAUCCAGAAGAGUUGAGACAGAAAGAGAAAUAACUAGUAUUAUGUUCCUUAAAAUGUCCUUCCUUUUUGAUCAACACUAAUACUUAAAAAUCAUCUGAGCAGGUUCUGCUAUAUAUAUAUAUAUAUAUAUAUAUAUAUAUAUAUAUAUAUAUAUAUAUAUGUUUAAAAUUAUUUAUAUUCAAUGUAUAUGUACAGCUUUACUAGCUUUUGUGGACUUUAUAAAUUAUACAUAAAAUGGGUCAGACAUGGUAGUUCGCACCUAUAAUCCCAGCACUUUGAGGGUCCCAGCACUUUCUCAGGUCCCUUGGAAGAGAAAAUAAUUAUUUUUAUUAUUACUCAAUAAAUUAACAUACAUUUGGUUUGGAAUUUAAAAAAUUAAAGAUAUCUUGAAAAAUUAAACAUCAUAUUGUCUUCACUGGAAUGGUUGUCUCACCCAGCGUCAUCUCUUCUAGUGGCUGGAUCCUGUUCUUCCUGAAAACCACUCAUUUCUGAUAACAGUAGAACUGUAGCUCAGAAUGCAAGCCAAAACUGCCUUCCUUGAGUCUGGCCUUGGUCACAAGUGGGUCAUCGCUUUAUCCAGGACAAUCAUGAUUCUUCCCUGGAAUUUUCACACAUGAUCUUAGCCAAAAAGCUGAGAAGAAAUUCUGGGAUUUUCCAAUGCACACUUGAGUUUUCUUUCCAGCAGCCAAGCUGUGUGAAGCUGAGCCUGGAGCUGCUGAUGGCCAUGAUUCCUGAGUUAGAAAAUGUCACAAUAUAAGAUGCACACUAAAUCAAGACCAAAAACAUUUAGAAACUAUGACAAAUGAAUGAAAAUUAAGUGGUGAAAUGACAUUAUGUUCUUCUAUUUGAUUCCACUUAUGUGAAUUUCUAGACUAGGAAAACUUAUUUUGAUUAAAAGUACAUCUGUGGUUUCUUGGAGGCUUGAUUUGCAGUAAACGUGCAGGAAAGUGUUAACAUCAGCAGGCAGGAGACUCCGAUCCUUAGAAGGGCCUGCUUGCGAGCUUGGUCUUCGCUGGCAUCUAGAAACUUAUGUUUCAAGAGAGUACCCACCAUUCUCUGAUAAGAAUGAUUCAUUGUCCUAAACCAUUUGUUCAAACAAUUGGUUUAUCCUGAAUAUCUGUUUUUCUUGAAGUCUAAAAUUUUUAUACAGAGUAGGCAGAGUGUGUCCUAUGUAAUCAACCCUAAUAAAAACCAUGGACUCUGAGUGUCUCAAGAGCUUCCCUGGUAGACAGCAUUUCAUACUUGCCAUUACAAGUUGCUACUGGGUGAAUUAAGAUCAGCUGGUGUGACUCCAGUGGGAUAAGAUUCUUGGAUGCUUGCACCUGGUUUCUUCCGGAUAUUGCUGGAUGCACCUUUUCUCUUUGCUGAUUUCGCUUUUUAUCCGUUUUCCAUAAUAAAUCACUGCCAUGACUAUGCCUAUAUGCUGAGUCGUGGGAGCACUCCUUACAAAUCACCAAACCUGGGGAUGGUCUUGGGACCCCUGGUACAGCAAAAAGAAACUUUUUAUCUCAAUAGAAGUGUGAUUUAUGUGGCUGCAUUCAAUUGUCAAAAUUGAUUGAACUGUGUACUUAAGAUCUGUGUAUUAUACCUAAUAAAAUUAUUUUGAGGAAAAAAC
rnacentral:lncRNA from 10 species